rnacentral:rRNA from 1 species
GACGAACGCUGGCGGCGUGCUUAACACAUGCAAGUCGAACGGAAAGGCCCUGCUUGCAGGGUACUCGAGUGGCGAACGGGUGAGUAACACGUGGGUGAUCUGCCCUGCACUUCGGGAUAAGCCUGGGAAACUGGGUCUAAUACCGGAUAGGAGCCAUUUUUAGUGUGAUGGUUGGAAAGUUUUUUCGGUGUAGGAUGAGCUCGCGGCCCAUCAGCUUGUUGGUGGGGUAAUGGCCUACCAAGGCGGCGACGGGUAGCCGGCCUGAGAGGGUGGACGGCCACAUUGGGACUGAGAUACGGCCCAGACUCCUACGGGAGGCAGCAGUGGGGAAUAUUGCACAAUGGGCGCAAGCCUGAUGCAGCGACGCCGCGUGGGGGAGGACGGCCUUCGGGUUGUAAACUCCUUUCGCUAGGGACGAAGCUUUUUGUGACGGUACCUAGAUAAGAAGCACCGGCUAACUACGUG